rnacentral:lncRNA from 1 species
AUCUCUUAUGUUCCUCAGCUUUUCUUCAUGCAUCUUCUGCCCAACUUUGCUGAGUGCUGGUGGGACCAGGUCAUUCUGGACAUCCUGUUGUGUAAUGGUGGUGGAAUCUGGCUGGGCAUGGUCGUUUGCCGGUUUUUGGAGAUGAGGACUUACCACUGGGCAAGCUUCAAGGACAUCCACACCACCACAGGGAAGAUCAAGCGUGCUGUGCUACAGUUCACCCCUGCUAGCUGGACCUACGUCAGGUGGUUUGACCCCAAGUCUUCCUUUCAGAGAGUGGCUGGUAUAUACCUUUUCAUGAUCAUCUGGCAGCUGACUGAGUUGAAUACCUUCUUCUUGAAGCACAUCUUUGUGUUCCAAGCCAGCCAUCCCUUAAGCUGGUGCAGAAUUCUCUUCAUCGGCUGCAUUACGGCUCCCACAGUGAGACAGUACUACGCCUACCUCACGGACACACAGUGCAAGCGUGUGGGGACACAGUGCUGGGUAUUUGGGGUCAUUGGUUUCCUGGAAGCCAUUGUUUGCAUCAAAUUUGGACAAGAUCUCUUCUCUAAGACCCAGAUACUCUACGUGGUGCUUUGGCUUCUUUGUGUG